rnacentral:rRNA from 1 species
UACGGGGGGGGCAAGCGUUGUUCGGAAUUACUGGGCGUAAAGGGCUCGUAGGUGGCCAACUAAGUCAGACGUGAAAUCCCUCAGCUUAACUGGGGAACUGCGUCUGAUACUGGAUGGCUUGAGUUUGGGAGAGGGACGCGGAAUUCCAGGUGUAGCGGUGAAAUGCGCAGAUAUCAGGAGGAACACCGAUGGCGAAGGCAGGUCUCUGGGCUGUAACUGACGCUGAGGAGCGAAAGCAUGGGGAGCGAACAGG